rnacentral:tRNA from 1 species
CGUUCUAUGGCCGAACGGGUAAAGGCAUCACCUAUUACAGUUGAAAAUGCGGGUUAGAGUCCUACUGGAACGA